CUCUUUUUGUUGUUGUUGUUCUUUGCCCUGUUCUACGGUUCUUCGUGGGGAGGGGAUUCAUUUUAUUAUCUUUUGCUACUACCGAAAAUCAUUACUGAAUGGCUUUGUUACCAUCGUUAGAACACUUUGGAUCGGAUCGGUAGCAUAUUCACGGUAGUGCAGAGUAGGAGAUGGGGUUUACCUUCUCACUGGCUCGAGGAGCUCGCCCCGGUGGCCAUGACAGAGGGGCAAUGGUGAUGACUGCAGAGAGCGGUGUGGUGGCGACGCGGUUAACCUCGUACUGCGUGUCCCGGCCCCACCUCUUUAACCUGGUACUGCGUGUCCCGGCCCCACCUCUUUAUAUAGCGUAGGUCAUAGGGGGCCACCAACCAUGGUUUGGUUGAGCGCCCCCGAUCAGGGCGCAAUGCAAAGGGUCCGGUGGGCCGUUGGGCUCACACAGGAAAGAGAUCAUUGCCUCAUCUCUGAGGUGCGUGUUUAAUUGUUUAUGUUUCUUGACUCUUAUAAAGAAACGGUUUACCAGUUUUGUCGUCCCAAAUCAUAUCAUUGGGACAAGUCAGCGUGCUUGAGCUGUUUGUAAAGGCGCAAGUGAAAGCAGUGAUGUGUUAUCUCUUUAGGUUCAUCUCUUUAAACAUGAUGAUAGCUCCAUGAGCUUCCUUGACAUUUUCAUCAAGUUCGACUGGAUUCCUGCGCAUGUGGAACGAGUGAGACAAUUAGCUACACGCAAGGGGGUCGAAUUGUUCUGGUGAUGUUUAGGGUGCAUUACACUGCGUAGGAAUGUAUCUGGCGCCGACCGAAGAUAUCCAAGAAGACCCGAACGACGGUUGUCCUCGAUAGACUACGAGAGGAGAUGGAAGAUGGGUAGGCGAAGGACAUAGGAGAGGUUGGGAAAGGGAGAGGUUGGCAUACACACCUUGCCGCCACACAACCACCUCCGACAGGGACGACAGUGGCGAAGCAUUUUGAGUGGUCACGACAAUGCCUCCGAAGUCGCUUGAGUGCGACUCAAGAUGCGGUUAAGCUAUGCCAACUAACAAUGUCACUGGCAAUAGGAAAAGCACCACCUUAUCUCAACAUGCAAUAAUGCCAACUCACUAUGCCAUGCCAUGCACAGGGAAGACGAAUAUUCUACAAGUGUAUACAGUAAUUAAGUAUAACGAUUAUAAUAUUUUAGUAUCAAUUCUCAUAUUGUUAAUACAAACUAUGUUUUAUACAAUUAAAUCUCGUUGAAAUGACUGCAACUAAUUCCCACAGCAGCGCUCAAGACAUCAUCUCUACUUAUCUAAGUAAGCGAUCCCAUUUAAAUGUACAUGCAAGUCAUCCAAAUCUCAAGUGCAUGCAAUCUUUCACUUUCCACCAGAUACAAUCCCUUUACAUUAUCAAUUUAUACAAUUGAAAUGGAAUAUCACAAGGCAAUAUAACAAUACAUCCACCCUCUGUUUACCUUUAGGUUUGGUACCAUAUAUAUGACGAAAAAUAUGAUGUGGUAUUAUUCUCAUAUAUUUCAAUUUUAUUUUCUGUAAUUUUGUUGCUAUAAAUUUCCGUAGCCACACGUGGGAUUAAUUGUAUGAACAAGAGGACAUUAAUAUCUUGCACCCCACUUCACUACCAUCGUCAUAAAAAGGAAAAGAAAGUAUUCAACAUCAACGAGUAACCACACACAAAAUUGACAAAAA